CGGUUUUUUGAACCCUAAACCCAAAAUUCACUCUCCAUUCGCUCAAAUAUUCACUCUCUUCUCUGCAACCUUCACUCUUCUCAUACAAAUUGAUCGAAACUUCUCUGGUUCUUCUCUCUUCUUGCACAAAUCAAUCGAAUCACAAAUCGAUUGAAGAAACCACUCAAUCGCACAAAUCUUCUGUAGCCUUCGAUCUCUCCGGACUCCACUAUCGAAGGGAAGAGAUAAAGACCAAGAAUGUUAUCAUCUGGGUCUACGCAUCAUUCUACGUCCAUGGGUGCUUUCUCACAAUCUGUUCGAGGAAAGAAUGAUGUUGCAUGGGCACAUGUUGAUAGCCUUGAUGGAAAUGGAAGAAGGAUAUUAACAUGUUUAUAUUGUGGCAAGACAAUUAGAGGUGGAGGUAUUUAUCGAAUGAAACUACAUCUCGUGGGAAUAAAGGGGGAUGUUGGAAAGUGCUCAAAAGUUCCCUAUGAUGUUGCAUUCCAAAUGCGAGAGGCAAUAAAAGAAACUGGGGAAAAAAUAAAGAAAAAGUUGAGUUUCGCAUGCAAAUCCUUAUGGUGCUGUUGUAUAUGGGUUUGAGGGUGACAUGAAUGGUGAAACUUGUCAAGAGGUCCCUCUAUCAGAAAUGACCAUUAAUGAAGGUGAUUCGGGAUAUAAAAAACAAUGUACAAACACUAAGAGAAAUAGACCGAUUGGGAUUGGUGAUUAUUUUGCUCCACAGACUACUGUUGGGUCUCAGCCCUCAAUUAGGAUUGUUUUGGUGAGAAAAGAAGCUAAAUGGAGAACAGACAUGGCUUUUGCAGGUUCUUUUAUGAUUCUUGCAUCCCAAUGAAUGCUGUGAAUUCAGUUUAUCUCCAUCCUUGAUGCUAUUGAGAGGAAAGCAAGUAUGUUUAACGUGAGCAAGUCAAAGUUAGUGGAUGAUAGUGGGAUAUUUCGAGACCGUGAGGAAAGCUUUUCUCGUGAACUUGCCCUUCAAACCUCCAAAACCACAUGACCUGAUACGUAAUAGUUAUUAAUUUCUCAGUUUUAAACUUCUAAUUUUAAGUCCGAUUUCUGAGUUAUGACUUAUGAGAUUAAUACGUUUAUUUCUUAUGCCUAAUUUGCAAUUAGGUGAAUGAUGGAGGACAUAUGGGUAUAGUAUUCCUAUUUUUCAGAAGUUUUCAAUUCAAAUUCUAAGCCAAACUUCAACCUCUUCAGGGUGUGAGCGAAUUUGGAGUGUUUUUGAACACAUACAUUCAAAGAAGCAAAAUAGAUUGGAGCAUCGAUGGUUAAAUGAUCUUGUUUUUGUUGAUUACAAAUUGCAUUUGAAAAAUAGGAGGUUUUACAAGAAAUUAAAAUGAGUGUUGAUCAUAUUGAUUAUGAAAAUAUAGAUAAAACUAAAUUUUGGAUGGUUGACGAUGAAGAGGAGAAUGGUGAUCUUAAUUAUUAAGAAUUGGAACAAACACUUUAUGGAGAAAGAUUUAUUCUUGUCGGUGUCGGUGAUCAUUAUGAAUAUAAUUCAAACUUAGGAAAUGCUUCACAAGAUGGUGAUGAUGAUGAUGAUAUUAAUGCAGAGCAAAAUCAAUAAAUGAUGGAAUUGAAUAUCUUUUUGUUUAUGUAUUUGAUAUAGAUCAUAAUUGUAAUGGAAGUCUUUUUGAUGGAUUUGAUAUUCAUAUUUUGUUGAAUGUUUAUGUAUUUGAUGUAAUCAGUAGUAAACUUUGGUUAUAUGAUUCUAAUGGAAUUUUUUUUUUUUAA